AGGUGAGGUAGAGGUUGCGGAAGCGAUGAGUAGCUGUUCCGAGGCGUAAGAGCCGCCGGUGACGACAGCGAAGGGCGCCUUCCGCCGAAGUGUGCGAACCCGCUCUACGGUUGGCAUGCUGGGUCUGUUCUCCGAAAGGGACAGAACUGUCGCGGUGUUCCUUCCUCCUGCAGGAAGAUGAAGACGCCGUGAUGAGCUAUCUUUCAU
rnacentral:ncRNA from 1 species